CCUGGCGGCGAGCGGCGAACGGGUGAGGAAUACAUCGGAACGUACCCCGGAGUGGGGGAUAACGCCGCGAAAGCGGCGCUAAUACCGCAUAUGCUCUGUGGAGGAAAGUGGGGGACCCGCAAGGGCCUCACGCUCUGGGCGCGGCCGAUGUCCGAUUAGCUAGUUGGUGAGGUAAUGGCUCACCAAGGCGACGAUCGGUAGCUGGUCUGAGAGGAUGAUCAGCCACACUGGGACUGAGACACGGCCCAGACUCCUACGGGAGGCAGCAGUGGGGAAUUUUGGACAAUGGGGGCAACCCUGAUCCAGCCAUGCCGCGUGCGGGAAGAAGGCCUUCGGGUUGUAAACCGCUUUUAGUCGGGAAGAAAAGGCGCCACCUAAUACGGGGCGUUCUUGACGGUACCGGCGGAAUAAGCACCGGCUAACUACGUGCCAGCAGCCGCGGUAAUACGUAGGGUGCGAGCGUUAAUCGGAAUUACUGGGCGUAAAGCGUGCGUAGGCGGU
rnacentral:rRNA from 1 species